rnacentral:rRNA from 1 species
GAUGAACGCUGGCGGCGUGCCUAAUACAUGCAAGUCGAGCGAACAGACGAGGAGCUUGCUCCUCUGACGUUAGCGGCGGACGGGUGAGUAACACGUGGAUAACCUACCUAUAAGACUGGGAUAACUUCGGGAAACCGGAGCUAAUACCGGAUAAUAUAUUGAACCGCAUGGUUCAAUAGUGAAAGACGGUUUUGCUGUCACUUAUAGAUGGAUCCGCGCCGCAUUAGCUAGUUGGUAAGGUAACGGCUUACCAAGGCGACGAUGCGUAGCCGACCUGAGAGGGUUGUCGGCCACACUGGAACUGGACCCCGGUCCAGCCACCGACGGGAGGAAAGAGGAGGGAAUCUUCCGCAAUGGGCGAAAGCUUGACGGAGAAACCCCGAGUGAGUGAUAAAGGUCUUCGGAUCAUAAAACUUUUUUAUUGGGGAAGAAAAAAUGUGUAAGUAAAUAUGCGCGUCUUGACGGUACCUAAGCAAAAAGCCACGGCAAACUACGGG